CAAAGCGGAAGAUGAGUGCAGAGCAGAAGUCUCCAUGAGAGCCAAGCCGGAAGGCCAAAAGGGUGCCGGAAUUUUCUUCCUUGCAGAGUGCCUUGAGCUUGAUGAAGUGACAGUCUCCAGAGAACUCCAAGAGGGAAGCCAGCUCUCUGAAGACAACCUUUACAUGUGGGACCAAUCUCAACAAGCUCCAUCUAUUACAGAAGAGAGGGAAGAGGUCAUGCUGAUCUUUCUGCUGACAAACUAGACUCAUAGGAACAUACCUGACCAACCAGCUUCCUAGCUGCAGUUCUGUGUAUUAAAAAGGAACGUGCCAAAUCCCGUAUGGUUGACUGCCAUCUAUUAACAUAUCUGUACAACCUAAACUUUUAGCUAUCUUUCCAUUUGAUCUGAUAAAGAGUUCUCAGUAACCUGAAGGCUUGCAAAGUUUGCACCAACCUAGCCAUGUUUCCACAGCUGGACAUUUGGAACCAGGUAUAGCAAUGUCUAUGUCUGAGGACUGGGGUGGGGGAUAUACAUAAAUGUCUUCUUAUCCUGGAGAUUGCUUGUGUCACAUGUAGCAAGAGAUGAGACAGCAUCCAGCACUCAUCUGUGCCACUGAGCUGCUUUCUGGAGUGUGCAUUUAAAGCAAUAAGAACAUGAGUUCUGCCAAAACCAUUAUCUGACAAUUGCAGAGAACUGCAAGAGAGAAACCACACAGAAUCCCUCAUUAUCCAGGAAGCAUGCUUUGCAUUGUGUGAAGAAGCCACACACUUCACCACUUCUUUCUUUCACAGCACUGCUGGCUUUAUAGUAAUGGUACCAAGGUGCCAAACAUCAGCACGUUUCCAGCUUCAAUUGGAUCCUGGACAAAAAUAACCAUUUUCAUAUGUUGCCAAGAUAGCAUAGAAUUCAAAAUGUCUUCAGAAAAACUCGAGGUUUUUUUUAAAGGGGGGAGGAUUUGUAUGUAUGUGGAGAAGGGAAUAAAGAAAGUAACCUAAGCCUCUGGUUUAGGGUGAAAAUGUAGAAACACACAUGACACAUUACAAAGAACACAGAGGUGCUAGUAAAAAUAGGAACAUAGGAGCUUUGUACUGAAUCAGACCACUGGUCCAUCUAGGCAGGAGGCCCUACCUGGGGAUGCUGGGGAUUGAGCAUGGAACUUUCUGCAGGGAAAGCAAAUGCUCAACCACUGAGCCCCUUGGCAGCCCUCUGUCCAGCUCCGCCUCUGUAUCAUCUUUAGUACAAUCGACUUUCAUGCCCUGUCAUCAAUAUGAUGUGCAUUUCCCUACCUUGGCUGCACAUCUUAGGCUAGAAGGAGUGGAGAAGGGCACAUUGUAAUGGUAUCAAGACGUGAAGGAAGUUGAACUAGAUGUUACGAAGCAGGUGAGGAGAACACCAAGGCUGUCAUUUUCAAAGGCAUCCCUGUGGUCUCUGUAAUGUUAAUUCGAAAAUCUGGUGAACUGGGUGGCUUUGCAAAGUUCUGUUUCCUCUUCAUUUGUCAGAUAAAUGAAUCCAGUAUAUGAUUCAGCGUAGGGCCCCCUGCAAGCUUGUUUUUAGACUUCAAAUCUUCUACUUGAAGGCAGCCCAAGAUGUUUGAUGUAUUAAGCAGAAAUGAAACUGUGCCUUUCCUCCCCAUGGGACAAUACAAGCUGAAUAACUAAAGUAUAGAUGUGAAGGCCCAGGGGAAAAAUGGAAUAAUAUUUUUGGU